GCCAUUUGAGAUUAGAUUUAGUAGCCAUUAUAAUUGUUGCAAACAAUUGCCAUUAAAGAUAAUAUUUUUUAGCGGCAAUAAACCAUACAAUUUACCAGCUUUUGCGAGAAAAGCCGCUAAAGGCUUUGCCGACCCCAGCAUCAGCGGAAAAAUACUAUUGGCUAGUAAAAGAUAUAGCGGCUAUUGUUAUUACCGCUAAAGCCAUUUUGUAUUGCCGCUAAAGGUCUUUUUUGUAGUAGUGUUUGCCAAGGUAGAAGGUUCUGCUGACUUUUAUUUUCGAAGGAGUCUUCUUUUUGGAAGUAUUGAUUUUCUUUGCUUUUGGAGUCACAACUUCCACCUCUUCUGCCUCCUCUUCAUCAUGAAGGACCAGGUCCAUCUCCUCAAUUUUAACUGCCUCAACAGGCUCAACCACCUUUUUUUUCCCUUUGCAGCAGAUUUUCUUUUACUUUCUUUGAAGGCCUUCUCAAGUUCAGCCUCACUCUGCUUCUUUUGACUCCUUGUAGAUCUUCUUCUUGUGGGAAGAGUCUCUAUAGGGAUAGAAGAGGCAUCCUUUCUCUUCUUGUUUGCCCUAGCAGUUCCAGGGAUUUUAACUCCUGAACUCUUCUUCCUUUUUGGAUUAUAGCUGUCAGACACGCAUUUCAGUAGGUCUUCGAGGGGUUCCCAUACUGAUGGAACAUGUUCUUGAACAUUCUUUCCCAGUCUAACCAACCCCUUAGCAGCUCCAGACCCACUUCCCACUUUUUCACUCAAACUUUCUUCUUCUCCAGCAGAUUCCUCACUACAUACUACCAUAGCUCCUAUUUCUUCAAUCGAACCAACAGGAGUGGGUGAAGAUUCUAUAACACCCCAAAAAAUUUUAAAGUAUUUUAAGACCAUUAAGAAGAUUGGCGGGUGAAGAUUUUCAAAUAUUCUCAAAGAUUCUGUAACACCCCGGAAGAUUCUGCGUCAGGUACGCGGCCAGAUGCGCGGCCACUUGCCCAGGUGUGUGGCCGCGGACGUAGGAACCCAAUAAAUAACCCCCAAGACUGGGUAGAGAGAGGGAUUAAGUCAUUUUUGAGGUAAAAACCUGAUAUUUUAGAGAGAUGUAAGAGCAUUUUAGAGAGAGAAGGAGUAAACCUAUCAUUCUAAUCAUCCAAUCUUGCACCAAUCUUCAAGAAUCAAGGAAACUAAUCACAAGAUCUUCAUCAAAGAGAUAAGGUUCCAUACCCUAAUUUUAAAUUUCGGGAUUUGGAUUAAAAGUAGGCCAUAAGAAGUAUAAUUCUUGGGUGUGAGAGUAUUAUGUGUACAUUUAUGGAUUUAUUAUGGAAAUAUGAGUAUGAAUUAAGCAAGUAUUGGAACUUAUGGUAUAGUGAUUGGAAGCCAUAAAUUCUCAAUUUAAAUACAUAACCAUUGUAGAGAUUGAAAGGUGAUUAUUUGAUAGAAUUUUAUUGGUUGGGUGAGAAUAGUUGGUCACACAUAUGAUGUUAGGAUUAUAAGUUGUUAAAGAAUAAUGGUGGGAUGAAUUGUUGGUAAAUGAUGGUAAAUGGAAGAACUAAUUCUAUGGUUAAGAAAUGUAUAAAUGUAUGCCCACUAGGUGAUUGGUAAAUUAACUAAAUGGCCUAAACUAUAAAAUUGGUUACUAAUGUUGGUCCCAUUGGAUGUUAAUAUUGUAGAUUGCACUUGUUUAGUAUAGUAGAUCGUUGUAGUAUCAUUAAGGGGUGAAUUUCAGUUUCGGAUCGUUGGCAUUGAAUUGAGGAGACAAGAAGGCAUUCGGAGGUGGAUACACGUGGAAUGGAAUUUCCUGAGUAUUGAUUAGCUGGCUCAACGUUGGGUUCGUCUUGUUGAGGUAAGUAACAGUUUUAAAUCUGGUCCUGAGGGUAUAAAAUCCCAGAUUAUUGUAUUAUGUGAGUAUUUAGGAGGUAACGCACAUGCUAGGUGAUGGGCGUGUGGGCAUGGGAAUUGGGACUUGGUCUAUUCCGUGAAACUGGAAAGUUGAAUAAGCUUGUCGUUAGCUAUGUGCCCUUUCUGUGCUAUAAAAAUUUGGCAGUGAAGCAUGCUUAGGCUAUGUGAUGGUGCUGUAAAGACCACAGAGGUCUUGUACAUGUUGAAUUAUCUACUAAAUUAUUAGUUUGUACUCAGUCAGAGUUUACUUGUUUAUUGUAUCUCAGUCUCUAUUAUUCAUUAUUGAUGCAUCAUAUUAUUGUUAUUUGGGCUGAGUAUCAUGACUAUUGAGAACCCGAGAGACUGGAGAGAUUUAUGACUGAGUGAGACCGAGGGACUAAUUGUGAGAUAUUAUAUUAUAGCACGUGAGUUGUCCGUGCAACACGUGAGUUGUCAGUGCGGAUCCUUAUAUUAUUCUAUAGCACGUUAGUUGUCCGUGCAAUACGUGAGUUGUCCAUGCGGAUCCUUAUUUUAUACUAUAGCACGUGAGUUGUCCGUGCGGAUCCAGAUAUUUACACUAUAGCACGUGAGUUGUCUGUGCAACACGUGAGUUGUCCGUGCAAAUUAUAGCGCUUGGGUUGUAGGAGCCCCUCCGGAGUCUGUACACCCCCAGUGAGCGCGGGUACCCAUUGAGUGUGAGUGCUGAGGGCUGAGAGCCGAGUGGUUGAGCUAUUGUGACGAGUUGAGUAACUGUUGCCCUGAGAGGCUGUACUUUCUUUUCAUUUGUUGUUGUACUUAGUUGCUAUCUGUCAUUGUUGUGAAAUUCUCUAAAAGAUUUUAUAUCCGAAUUACGUGAGCUUGAGCUGUAUAAAACUGAUUUGACUUAAACUGCUAGAAUUGAAAGUAUGUCUACACUCUGCUGGAAUUACUGAAAAUGAAUUGUAACUGUGUAGCUCGUCACUAUCUUCAGUUCCUUAUUUAUUAUUGUUACUUACUGAGUUGGUUGUACUCAUACUACACCAUGCACAUCGUGUGCAGAUCUAGGUAUUCCCAGACAUAGCGGGUGUUGAUUCUUUCACACAGUUGAUUUUCCGGAGAUUCAGAGGUAGCUGUCGCGUUUCGCAGACCUUGUCUCUCCUUCCCUAUCUCCUUGUUUACUGUAUUGGUCUCAGACUAUUAUAGAUCGUAUUUUCCAGACUUGUAUUCAUAUUAGAUGCUCAUGUACUCAGUGACAACAGAUUUUGGGAGUGUUUAUAUUUGUACUUGUGAGAUUUC
rnacentral:lncRNA from 1 species